rnacentral:rRNA from 1 species
CUGGUUAUUGCGAUGGAGGGACGGAGAAGGCUAGGCCAGCUUGGCGUUGGUUGUCCAAGUUUAAGGUGGUAGGCUGAGAUCUUAGGUAAAUCCGGGAUCUUAAGGCCGAGAGCUGAUGACGAGUUACCCUUUGGGUGACGAAGUGGUUGAUGCCAUGCUUCCAAGAAAAGCUUCUAAGCUUCAGGUAACCAGGAACCGUACCCCAAACCGACACAGGUGGUUGGGUAGAGAAUACCAAGGCGCUUGAGAGAACUCGGGUGA